CUCGGGUGCUGUGCCUUUAAACAGCAAAGUGUUGCUAUAAACCUGCCACCUUAACCCUCAGUUCAAUAGCACGCCCGUUGCCAGAUAAGACACACAUUCACACAGACAUUACAGUACACAUACAGUCAGGUCUUCUAUAUUCACACACACACACACACACACAGUACACAUAGGUUCAGGUCCUUAUUGAUUUCCGUUGAAGUCCCAGGUUCACUGAAGCGGCUGCUGGCUUUAAGGUUUCUACUGAGGUGCAGGGGUUAACUUCACAAGAUGCCGAUACGCGAGGCUUUUUACUUUUUAGAAGUCUUCAUGCCGUUGAUCACAUUUGGCAUCACCAUCAUCUGCUGCACAGCCUUUUGUAAGGCCUUCCACCGGGCCCGCGAGGAGCAACUGGACCGGGAGGAGAGACGAGACAGGCCCUCCAUCUAUGUCAUUCCCUUCCCCACAGUAUCUCAUGACAACGAAGACAUCCACAGGCCUCCUCGCUACAGCACCUCAGAGUUCUACAGCCCACCUCCUGCCUACAAUGAGGUGGAGAUGAAGCCAGACUUUAUCCACCCAGAGCUUCCUCCAGCCUACUCUGAGGUCUCCAACACACCUGUUUUCCCCCUGCAACCUGUCUCGGCAUCUCCUGAACCCCACUCCCAACCAUAGGACCGUACCUCCUUAGGAAGCCUGCGAGGGGGAGGCCUGAGGCCACAGACUAAGGGAUAAAUUACACAGAAUAUGGGACAUACUGUAUGUGGAGUGGGGAUUUUGAAGCUGGAUAUGUAUACCACAGAGACUUGGUCCUUGGGAUUGUUGAAUGGGGACGAGAGGUGGAAAGUUUGGGGACCAUAAGGACAAGCAAGUGUUUGGGCAUCUAUGAAAGUGUGUACUGUAAAGCAGAAGUUGGGGACAAGAGAUUGAAUGGGGUUGCGUAGUAGCUAUAGCUACCGAUCUGUACAUACCAGUGUGUAAAUAUUAUUAAAAUCUUUCAAAUUUUAUUUUUCAAGGUGUUACUCAGAAUAGUUUAUUAAUAUUAUUAUGUAUCAGUGUCAUGGAACUUGUUGUGUAAUAAUGGUAAAUAGUGUCUGUUUUCGUUAUCAAAGAUUCAAUCUGUCCUAUAUUGGUCAUGUCUGAUUCUGUAACACAUCGUCCGUGCUCUUUGGCCAGAUAGGUUACAUAACAGCCCUACCCAGGAAGCUGUUCUGUAAAACACUGGUAAGAUAUUGAACAGACAAACUGAUAAAAAUGUACUAUGUCAUGGACAUGACCGUUUUUGGCAUUCCUCUCGGUUAUAAAUAUGUUAUUUCCUCUUACUCCAGUUGCCCAAUCAUAUAUCCUUACAUGAAUAGGAACAAGUCUUUGGCUGAUGAUGUGUAGUGUAUUAAGUGAUAGUAAAAUAGUAACCGCUUCACUUAAUGCCCCCUUGCCUAUGACUGUAAACUAUGAUCAAAACAUAUAUGGCCCAUCUCUGUCAUUCAUUUUCUAAGAUUAGACCAGAGGUUGAGCAGUUGUUACUGAGAUGCCUCAAUGCUACUAACCCAACACUGUUUUGCUUUAUGAACAUCAUGAAUAAUACUAGCAUUUUGCAAAUACAGACAGGGAUUGAAACCUGGGUCUCUAGUGUGCUUGUGGACUGUGUUAGCCCGAUGAGCUAAAGCCUAGGCAUUAACUUGGGGAACUAAUAUUUGUCUUCAGGACAGGUGUCAGUGCAAAGUUACUCACUCAUCACGUGAGUGUGAUUCAUCAACUUUUAUAUAGUAUACAGUGCAUUCGGAAAGAAUUCAGACCCCUUGACUUUUUCCACAUUUUGUUACGUUACAGCCUUAUUCUAACAUGGAUUAAAUAAAACAAUGUCCCCAUCAAUCUACACACAAUACUCCAUAAUGACAAAGUGAAAACAGGUUUUUAGAAAUGUUUGCAAAUGUAUUAAAAAUAAAAAAAACAGAAAUACCUUAUUUACAUAAGUAUUCAGACCUUUUGCUAUGAGACUCUAAAUUGAGCACAGC
ensembl:lncRNA